GACUCACAGCCAUGUUUGCUUUCUGUUCAGGAUUAAUUUUCAGUAAUGGAAUGACUGGGUCAAAGGAGAUCAACAUUGCUGUGGCUCUUUCAGGUUCUCUUAAAUUCCAUGGAUUUUAACUUUGGCCCAUGACCUCCUUGACCUCUGGAAAUGUGACAUCCUGCACCUGCUGCAUCAGGGCUCUUCCCUGGUCUUGCCUACACUUGUGUCUACACAGAUGCCUCUUCCUGUCCAUAUCACUUGCUUCUGCAUAAAGUGGGUGCAGAAGAUAAUGAGACGGAUUUGACCGCGGUGAACAGGCAGGCACACAAGAUGGAGCAGGCCCUGGUGAUAAACCCCAAUUCAAGUGAGAGGAAGUAUGAGGAACCAGAUUGGAAGAUGGAGUCCAGUGCCCAGAGAUCAUGGUCCAGGCAGCUUGAUAAACCAGAGGGAUAGUCUGAGAGAGAAACUGAAGGUCAAAAUCAACGCAGUGGUGCCGAACAGAAGGGCCCGAGGUGCGAUGAGUAUAAUAUGAACACGAAGGAAAACAGCGAGUUCAGAAGCCUGGAGAAUCAGAAGCAGGUCAAGCGCUGGGGUUCAGGGCAAAGACCCUGAACACUGUGAAGGUGUUGGAGACCUGUUUUGAGGUGGCACUGCGGCUCAAUGUGAGUGCAGACCUGAGAGA
rnacentral:lncRNA from 1 species